GCAAGUGUCUAGUAAUUUGGAAAAAAAAGUGUAUAGGAAUAGUGGGGCUACUACUGAUUCGACUAGAGAAAUUAUAUCCACUUAAUCCAAAGUAUUGCUACUAAACUAAUGUGUGCACAGGUUAAUGUUGUGUCUUGCUGUUCAGUGUUUUAACAGAGGCCAUUGUUUUUAAACAUGUCGUAUUUAUAUGCACACACAAAUCACUAUUUUUCCAUACACUUAUGAGCUAGUGUCAUGAAGGCACAUUUGAUAAAGAGACUCAGCUGUGUGUCCAAGUCUGUGUGUGGUUGUGUAAGUGUUUGUUGUUGUUUAGUGCUAGUGCGACUGCGCAAUAUGGCCAGUUUAGCACUUAAAGAAUGAAUGGAAUGUUAUUUUACACACACACACACUCACACACAUACACGCACACGCGCGCGCGCGCAUCUAUUUCUCUUCUUCCCUCACCAACACAUUUUGAUUUGACUUGUUUUAGACAGAGUAUGCAUUGACCAAUCAGUCUACUAUGAUAUUAGGGGUAGUCCUAUGUUUUCAAGCCUGUGAAACAUGGGAAUAUGUCCAACCAGGAAAAUUGGAAUUAUAUCUGAGUUCUGCAUUUGAUUAAAAAAAAAGACACAGGGCUUACUGUUGAGUCAGCCGGUGAACCCUGUUUAAGAAGGCAGUUGUUUUGAGAAGCUAAGUGAUUAUCAAGAGAUAAUUUGCUUCUCAAAAGCACAGCAUGUUUGUUCUUGAACCACAGAGAGAUGCAUUUCUUUUGUCUUCUCGCAGUCAUGCCGGUUUGUCUACUCACAACUCGAGGUGUGGAGGUAAAGAAUGAGUUUAUACAAGAGGUACACACACAUGCUGAUGGCUUGCUGGAGGUAUGAAUGCUGUAAAGAUAGACAGGGAUAACAAUCGUAUAUAUCACCGCGGUGCUCGUUUGAGACCAAAAUGGUGUCAGACUUACUUGAGGAUUUCCUUGCUCACUGACACCACAUAUCUUUAAGCUAAAUCUUUCCCAUUCUUUUCUUAUUUUCCAUGUGACCUAGCUACAUCCCUCUGUGUUCGCCUCAUUGAUUUGUACCGCGUUCUGACAUUCAGACUGCACUGUUCACCCUGUGGUGACCCUGGACACACGCUCAGAUACCCAUAGAGAGAAAAAGGGUCUCAUACCCUUCGGACUUCCAAAGAAGGAGAGGUAGCAGAUAAAACCUAUUCUGCUGUUGCAAGGAGGUAUGACUCUAAAUAUUUGAUGUGUACAGGAGUAGGGCUGAUAUUGUGAGGACCCUGGAUGAGAAAUGAAAGAAUAAAAGGGGAACAGGGUCCUGAGGUGCUGUGAGAGAAAAUGCUGCUCAAGGGAACACUGAUUGUUAUUGUGAAAGCGAAGGUUCGUUCUGCCCACUCGAAAUUAUUCCACCAAGGUCAUAGCAGUGAUGCAAAACGCAGUUUAUGUGGAAAAACGGUGUCAAACGGGAGCCUCCACAUGGGCAUACCCCAUCCCUGUACCACCCAGGGAAGAGAAUACAACAAAAGAGUUUGUUAAUUUAAAAUGUCGCUGUGGGGAUUGGAAGGUCAUAGGUUUAAGACAAACUGUCAGACAAACAUUUACUGAAUAAAAAAUAUAAAUCGGCACUGUGUCAUAUACUGCCCUGCAGUUCCAUUAUUGGAGCCGGCCGGGAGGGCGCUUUGUGUGCUCUCUCUCCCCCCGCCCCUCUCUGUUUUCAGCACCUGUCUUCAAUCAGCUUCAUCACCACCGGUGUAUAUAAGCCUGCCUGUUCCUGGAAAUCUGCGCUUAAGUAUUGCAGACUCUCCUAGCGUGCUCCCCUGUGUUCCUGACCCACGCCAUUCCUGCCACCAAACCAGCCGCCUGUUCUGUCCAUGCCGCGCCUGCCAACACAUCCAGGGCCGCCUCCAUAACCUUUCUUCAAUAAACUGUUCAUCCUUUCA